AAUUUCAAUAUUUAUACAUGUAUUUAUAAUUUUUUUUUUAUAAAAAUAAUUUUUUAGUUUUAGUAAAUUUUAUUAAAUAAAUUUUUCAUAAAUAAACUGAAUAGGUUAAUUAAGUUUAUUUAUAUAUAAGUAAAAAAUAAGUUUUGUACCUUUUGUAUCAGGGUGAAUUAAUUUAAAAUACAAAUUUAUAUUUCCCGAAUUUUAAUAAUUUAAAAUAAUUUGUAAGUUUUUGUUGUAAAAAAAUUUAAUAAUUUAUUUUAGAAAUGAAAUUUUAUCGAAUUAUAUGAUAUCUGGUUUUUUAAUAAAUGAAUUCAAUUCAGAAUAAUUAAUAUAAUUUAUAUAUGAAUUAUAAAUUAUUAUUUUUAUUCAAUUAUAAUAAGGAUUAGCUAAUUAUAAAAUCUAUAUAAUAAUAUUAUAUUAAUUUAAUAAGCUUAAGAACAGCUAUAUUUUUGAUUAAGUUACAUUACAUUACAUUAUUUAUAUUUAUAUAUAUAAAUAUAUUAGAUUUUCAUUAAAAAAUUUAAUUUAAUAAUUAAUUAUAACUAAUAUGAUUUAAUUAGUAUAAUUAAUAAAAAAUUUUAUUUAUGAAUUAGGCAAUUUUAAUUUUCAACUGUUUAUCAAAAACAUCUCUUUUAGAAAAAAAUUAAAGGUAUAAUCUGCCCAAUGAUUAUUUAAUGGCCGCGGUAAAUUGACCGUGCAAAGGUAGCAUAAUAAUUAGUCUUUUAAUUGAAGGCUUGAAUGAAUGAUUGAAUGAGAAAUUAACUUUAUUAAUAAAAUAAUUUGAAUUUAAUUUGUAAGUUAAAAAGCUUAUAUAAUCAAGUUGGACAAGAAGACCCUAUAGAAUUUAAUAAUGUUAUUAUAAAUUUAAUUUAAGUAUUAAUAAUUUAAAUAAGUAAUUUCUUUUUUUUGUUGGGGUGACAUUAAAAAAUAAUUAACUUUUAAUAUAUAUAACAUAUAUAUAUGUAAUUAUUGAUCCAAUAUAUUAUUGAUUUAAAGAAUAAAUUACCUUAGGGAUAACAGCGUUAUUAUUUUUUAGAGUUCAUAUUAAUAAAAUAGUUUGCGACCUCGAUGUUGGAUUAAGAAUAUAAUUUGGAGCAAUAUCUAAAAUAUUAGGUCUGUUCGACCUUUUAAUUCUUACAUGAUCUGAGUUCAAACCGGCGUGAGCCAGGUUGGUUUCUAUCCACUUUAAUUAUAUUAAUAUUAGUACGAAAGGACCAUAUUAGUUAAUAUAUUUAU
rnacentral:rRNA from 1 species